AUGAUUCCUUAUUACUUAAAUAACAACACACCGUGUUUAUUGUGUUGGUUUUUUUAUUUGGCUUCAUAGAAUGUUCACCUCUCACACAUGUGUUACCCAACCAUUAACCUUUGAUCUAAAUAUUGGAUCGGCCUUAUAACCUUGCAUCUAGGUAACUGUUAUAUCGGCGAAAUUAAAAUAUCUGUCG
rnacentral:misc_RNA from 1 species